rnacentral:rRNA from 1 species
CCUAGGGAGGCUGCAGUGGGGAAUAUUGGACAAUGGGCGAAAGCCUGAUCCAGCCAUGCCGCGUGUGUGAAGAAGGCCUUCGGGUUGUAAAGCACUUUCAGUGGGGAAGAAAGCCUUGGGGCUAAUACCCUCGAGGAAGGACAUCACCCACAGAAGAAGCACCGGCUAACUCCGUGCCAGCAGCCGCGGUAAUACGGGGGGUGCGAGCGUUAAUCGGAAUUACUGGGCGUAAAGCGCGCGUAGGCGGUCUGAUAAGCCGGUUGUGAAAGCCCCGGGCUCAACCUGGGAACGGCAUCCGGAACUGUCAGGCUAGAGUGCAGGAGAGGAAGGUAGAAUUCCCGGUGUAGCGGUGAAAUGCGUAGAGAUCGGGAGGAAUACCAGUGGCGAAGGCGGCCUUCUGGACUGACACUGACGCUGAGGUGCGAAAGCGUGGGUAGCAAACAGGAUUAGAUACCCUAGUAGUC